UGCCCCGUGGCUGAGUUGGUUACAGCGUCCGACUGUUAUAUCGCGGCAAAGCUUGUCUUCCUGGUCAAGUCUAGUUGUGAAGUUCCAUCGGAAGGUCGUGAGUUCGAGCCUCACCGGGGCAG